CAGUCGGCCCCCUCUCUUCUUCUCCCCUCCCCGCCGCCAUCCAUCCCGAGCCAGAUUCGCCGCCAUCCCAGUCCCUCCGUCUCACCGCUCGCCGCCACCCAUCCCGAGCCAGAUCCGCCGCUACCCCGGUCCCUCCGUCUCACUACUUGCCGCCACCCAUCCUGAGCCAGAUCCGCCGCUACCCCGGUCCCUCCGUCUCACCGCUCGCUGCCACCCAUCCCGAGCCAGAUCCAUCACCGCCACCUAUCUCGACCACGAGUUCUCCACCAUCGGGGACGAACAAGCCAAGCCCCCUCCUCCCGUUCGUUCGCCGCCUCCGUCGCCCAUCUCCAUCAACUCCACCGGCGAACCCCUCUGCCGCCCGCACACGCAUGGCCUCCGGCCCCUGCUGCUCUCCCCGCCUCACUCUCCCCGUCUCCUUGCUCCGCCUCGACAGGUCGGCGCUGCCAGUCCAAGGUCGCGCUGCCAUGGCUGCGGCCAGUCCAAGAUCGCGCCGCCCGCUUCGUCCUUGCCCGUGAUGUCCUCAUCGAGGUCCUUGCCGGUGGCCCCUCCGUCUUGUGCUCGAGCCGCCUUCGGCGCACCCCUUCCCCUCUGCUAGCCCCUGCCGCCUGCCGUCUCCGACUUUGCGGCCUCCCGUUGAUCUACUAGGCAAGCACGGUGUCAAGAUCUUCAGGAUGGUUCAUCUCCCUCCAGCUCCUGGCUAGGGCACCCAUGGAGGCGAUGAUGGAGGCCUGCAUGGAUCUACAACAUGAGGGUGAAGGUACCGUGAGGAUGCCCACCAAUGUUCUCAAAACCUGAAAACCAGUUAAAUCAAGAUAUGAGCCUGAACUUCAGAUUCGUUGUGUGGAUCUAGUAAGUACGAGGAGAUCAGCCCCCCAAAUGUGGAGGACUUAUGCUACAUCACCGACAACACCUACAUGAAGCAGGAGCUUGUUAAGAUGGAGAGGGAUAUACUGAACAAUCUCAAGUUUGAGAUGGGCAAUCCUACCACAAGACCUUCCUAAGGAUGUUCUGUUUGCUUCCUUCCCUACCGCUAAGACCCAGAUUUGAUCGAAUAGCUCGCUUCUUUUUCUGGCAGUUUCGCAAGAUUCGCCUGCCAGCAAGUGGGCUCACCAACAACCCAUUUGUAAAUAGACCUUGUGAAUAUCUUUGAGGUGUUCCUGCCUCAACUGCAUCAGCACAGAUGCUGCAACCCAUCACAGCGAGUUCCUCGGCCUCCGUUACGGCCGAUGCAGCAGUAUCUUAGGACACCAUUCAUGCCUCGCUGCCACUUCUACAUUUUCUUUCUCUGUUCUAGUUACUUAUGUGAUUUAUUCUUGGUACUUGUUGUUGUUGUAUUCUGAUUACUUGUUGGGACCGGUAUUGAGGGAUUUUGCUGGUUGCUUUGAGUACAUUUAACUUGGAGUUCUCCGGUACUCCUAGAUUUGCUACUCAAACAAAUUUUGAGUACUUGCACUGGAAAUGAUUGAAAUACUCCUGGUACUUGCAUAGGUUUAAAAAUGACUUGCAUAGGUUUAAAAAUACUCCUGGUACUUGUGAUGAAACCAACAGGCAACUUGCUAACAUCUUUUAGUGUUCAAUCAUCUUUUCAUUCUUAAUAGUAUCUCCUAUUAGGUGAUCUGAUUAGGAAGUGUAAGUACAAUGAUCUGGUAGGUAAUUGGGCUGCUUAAAUAUUUCCUCUGAUUAGUAAUUUAAUUUACCAAUAGGUACUGGCAGUAAAACAAACUGACAUCCAAUCAGUCUCAGGGAUUGAAUGAUUUAGUUACCACAUUGUGUCAGUUAGUCUGCUCUUUGUUCCAACAUGAAUGAUAUAUAUUACUUAAUCAUGUGUAUUUUUCUUUCCUUUUUCUAUGUUGUAAGUGGAUGUAUAGUUUGCCAGUUUUUAUCUCUGUUUGAUGGGUUUUAACCAAAGCUCCUGAGUACUCGCUUGCUUUGUUUUUUUAAGAAACUACAAAUUGUAUGGGCAUUUGAAGUUGUGGCUUAUAAUUGAUCAAUAUUGUUCUGUAACGUGCAGAUGCUGAUCAGGACAAAGAAGUCUGAGGAAGCAUAGUUCUAACAUUGUUGUCAACUAUCAAGUUUUGCAUUUAUGAAGCCCUUUAUACUGCUCAUGUUUCUUUGUGAAGCAUAGUUCAUAUGUGUGUAUGAUGUAGCAGAACUUGUGAUUGUACACUUGUGGAGCAGAACUGGCUCAUGUGAUUGUACACUUGUGGAGCUUGUUAUAUGAUUGUAAACUUGAUGCUUAUCACAUUUGUAUGUGUGUUAUAUGA